UUAUAAGAGACAGCAGUAGCCGCGGUAAUACGGAGGGUGCAAGCGUUAUCCGGAUUUAUUGGGUUUAAAGGGUCCGUAGGCGGAUCUGUAAGUCAGUGGUGAAAUCUCACAGCUUAACUGUGAAACUGCCAUUGAUACUGCAGGUCUUGAGUAAAUUUGAAGUGGCUGGAAUAAGUAGUGUAGCGGUGAAAUGCAUAGAUAUUACUUAGAACACCAAUUGCGAAGGCAGGUCACUAAGAUUUAACUGACGCUGAUGGACGAAAGCGUGGGGAGCGAACAGGAUUAGAGACCCGAGUAGUCCCUGUCUCUUAUAC
rnacentral:rRNA from 1 species